AGGCUGAUCCGGACACUGAGGUACGAAAGCUAGGGGAGCGAACGGGAUUAGAGACCCCGGUAGUCCUAACUGUAAACGAUGGGCACUAGACAUUUCCGCGUCUCAGCGGGAGUGUCGAAGGUAACGCGAUAAGGACCCCGCCUGGGGAUUACGAUCGCAAGGCUGAGACUCAAAGGAAUUGACGGGGGCCCGCACAAGCGCUGGAGCAUGAGCAUUAAGGUCGACGCAACGCGAAGGACCUGACCCGGGCCUGAACUGCUGGGUCUAGCUUCCGGAAAGGGAAGGGAACACUGCACGCAGGAGACCAGCAGAGGUACAGCAUGGCCAUGGUCAGCGCGAGUCGUGAGAGGGAGGGUUAAGUCCCGCUACGAGCGCGAGCGCUGCCCUUAGCUGCAAGCGAGUCAGAGCGGGUACGGGAAGGGGAAGGGCACGGACAAGGAGGAGGAAGAUGAGGAUGAGGACAAGGCAGCAUGACCAUGACGUCCAGGGCGAGACAGUAACACGACUCAGCAGGGACAAAGGGACGCGAAACCGCAAGGUGGAGCUAAUCUUCAAAGCUGCUCUCAGUUCGGAUCGCAGGCUGCAAUUCGCCUGCGUGAAGUUGGAAUCGCUAGUAAUCGCGGAUCAGCCUCGCCGCGGUGAUACGUUCUCGGGCCUUGUACACACCGCCCGUCACAUCACGAAAGUUGGUUAUACCCGAAGUCGCCGGGCUAACCUUUGGAGGCAGGCGCCGAAGGUAUGAUCGAUGAUUGGGGUGAAGU
rnacentral:rRNA from 1 species